AACUAGACAUAGCUCAAUAUUUAUACCCAACAAAACUAUUACAAGACUUAAAAUAAAACAUUCACCAAACAUUAAAGUAUAGGCGAUAGAAAUUCUAUUCGACGCUAUAGAAAAAGUACCGCAAGGGAAAGCUGAAAGAAACCUAUAAGUAGUAAACAGCAAAGAUUAAUUCUUAUACCUUUUGCAUAAUGAUUCAGCUAGUAAAUAUUAGCAAAAAGAAUUAAAGUUAAUUCUCCCGAAACCAGACGAGCUACCUGCCAGCAGCUAAUAGAGCAAACUCAUCUAUGUAGCAAAAUAGUGAGAAGACUGUCAGGUAGUGGCGACAAACCUAUCGAGCCUGGUGAUAGCUGGUUAUCCAGAAUAGAACUUCAGUUCUAACUUUUAUCUACCAAACAGACAAGCAAACUAAAAUGUAGAUUUAAGUAAUAAUCUAAAAAGGUACAUCUUUUUAGAUAAGGGAUACAACCCCUAUUAGAGAGUAAAUUACAAUUAAUCACAAUAGUUGGCCUAAAAGCAGCCAUCAAUUAAGAAAGCGUUCAAGCUCAACAAUAUUAAUACUUAAUUCCGUGAUAAAAUUAUAACUCCUAACACAAAACUGGAUUAAUCUAUUUAUAAAUAGAAGCAAUACUGCUGAUAUGAGUAACAAGAAACGUUUCUCCACGCACACGUGUAUAUCAGAACGGAUAACCCACUGAUAAUUAUCAAAAUAAAUAUUAACAAUUACUAAUCUCUUAAUAAUAACUGUUAGCCCAACACAGGAGUGCAAACAAGGAAAGAUUAAAAGAAAUAAAAGGAACUCGGCAAACACAAACCCCGCCUGUUUACCAAAAACAUCACCUCUAGCAUAAAAAGUAUUAGAGGCACUGCCUGCCCGGUGACUUCAGUUUAACGGCCGCGGUAUCCUGACCGUGCAAAGGUAGCAUAAUCACUUGUUCUCUAAAUAGGGACUUGUAUGAAUGGCCCCACGAGGGUUUUGCUGUCUCUUAUUUCAAAUCAGUGAAAUUGACAUUCCCGUGAAGAGGCGGGAAUAAAAAAAUAAGACGAGAAGACCCUAUGGAGCUUUAAUUUACUAGACCACAUUAUUUCCUUAACUCCUCACGAGGAAUAAACCUAUUAUGAAUGAGCUAGCAAUUUAGGUUGGGGUGACCUCGGAGUAAAACAUAACCUCCGAGAAAUCUACUUAAGACUUACAAGUCAAAACUAUAUAAAUAUACAAUGACCCGCCAAUGGCGAUCAACGAAACAAGUUACCCUAGGGAUAACAGCGCAAUCCUAUUCAAGAGUCCAUAUCGACAAUUAGGGUUUACGACCUCGAUGUUGGAUCAGGACAUCCCAAUGGUGUAGCAGCUAUUAAUGUGUUCGUUUGUUCAACGAUUAAAGUCCUACGUGAUCUGAGUUCAGACCGGAGUAAUCCAGGUCGGUUUCUAUCUAUUCAUAAGUUCCUCCCAGUACGAAAGGAUAAGAGAAACAGGGCCCACUUAAAAUAAGCGCCCCAAGAAAAUAGAUGAAAUAAUCUUAAUCCCACUAUCAUAUAUUAAUUAUUCUAGAAUAAGAAUAUUAAAUCAAAUUAAAGUGGCAGAGUUCGGAAAUUUGCA
rnacentral:rRNA from 1 species